UGGCAGUUAAAGAACAGAAACAGCCAUAAGACUGCCUGGCUACAUUUUCCCAGUGCCACCAACUGAGAGUUAAGCUGACUAACAUUUCGCAAGCCCAGCCCAUUUCAUUCCCAGCAGGACAGCAGG
rnacentral:lncRNA from 1 species